rnacentral:lncRNA from 1 species
CCUCCAUCAUUUAAAUAUGAACAUGAGACCGCCUCUUCAUGAGUCUUCUGCAAGCAAUGGAAAUGGACUAAGGAGUUUAAAAUUUGAAGAAAUGGAUAGAAAUGGAAGGCUUAACAUUGGAAGCAAAUGGCUUGGAUGAGGAGGGCAGGUGGAGCGUUAGAUGGUGGGUGUUUUCCUCAAAUUAGAAGUAGGCUCUUGUUUUUAUUAGGCCCGCUAUGGACAUAUAUGAUAACCCUAUCCCAUCAUACUUAUCCCUAACAUUUCAAUUUACUAUCACCCUUUUUAUUUUUAUUUUUAAAUUUUUUUUUCAUGUUUAUUUCUGAAAUUUUAUUCAAAUUCUUGCUAACAAAGUGUUAGCAUGAGACGCUCUUAUUAAUGAGUUUCUAAGAAAGUUCCGAAAUUGAAAUUUUAUAAAGGGUUAAUUUCGUUGACACCCUCUCAAGUUUAAUAUAAAUAUGCUAAAUCCUAGUAGGUUUUAAAUUUCAUCUAAUAGUAUCCAUAUAAAUGUAUUUCAUAUAUAAAAUUUAAUUUUUAAGGAAUAUAAUUUAAUUUAUAGGGAAUUGUUAAAUACUUAUAUCUAAAAUAUUUUUACUUAAAAUCUUUUUAAGAAAUAAGGGUAUGUUUGAUAAUGUGAUUUAAUAUAUAUAUAUAUAUAUAUAUAUAUAUAUAUAUUAAAUGAAAAACUGUUUUUAAAAAUUUAAAAAUCCCUAAUAUUAUUUAACCGAUGUUCUUUAAAAACAAUUUUUAAAAAUAAAAUGAAUUAAGUAACAAUUUUUAGAAAACAAAGAGAUGUUUUUAUUGGUUUUUAAAAACAAAAUAAAAAGAUCUGUUUGAUCAUAUUUUUUGAAACUUAUUUUUAAAAAUUAGUUUUAAGUUAAAAAACAAAAAAGAGUUUUUAAAAACAAAUUUCAGAAAAUAGGAUUAAACGGGUACUAAAUUUGAUAAACAAAAUAAAUUUAUAAGGGUGUUAAUUUAUGAAAUCUAAAACCUAAGAUGGUUUACUGAAUUUACAAUAAACCUUAACGGGUCUCAAUGAAAUUAACCUUUUAAUAAAAGUAUUUUUAAUUUUAAUAUUUAUAUAAUUAUAAAAGUUAUUAGAUAUAAUAAAAGGAUGAACUUUAUAUUAUUAGCCUACCAAACGAAACCUAUGUUAUUAGUCAUAUCUUUAUAUUCCUCUAUAUAUCUCUUUUUCCUUAUUAUUGUUUCAUAAUUACGUUAAAAAUGACCUCAUUUGAAUUAUUUUCACAUGCAUCAUCAAUUUCAACAAAAAUCCAAUAUUUUUAAAUAACGACAAAGCUCUCGUUGAUCCGAGGUAUUAAAGUGUGGGCCACAGCCGAAGCCCAUUAUGUAGUUUUUUAGAGUUCCAGCGGUACAAGCAUCUCAGGCCAUGGUUUCUUUAUUGGUUGUUACUUGUCUUGGCCCACAAAAUCAAGGACCCAAAAUAAACUUUAUUAUUUUUCCUUCAUUUCACGCAUUCUUCUUAGCUGAUUUUUGGGCUUGAAAGUGGAAAAAAUUGACUAGGUCUUAAAGAGUUGCUUCCUCAAUCAAACUAGAAUAUGGAAAGCAACGUAGGCAUGUCUAGUGGUGGGCCAUUGAUUGGGCCCAUGCCACACUCACCUCUUGUCUACUUUUCAUUUUGUAUCUUGGUCGUAUUUAUUUGUAUCUUAGUCACAUUCUUUAUACUUUUAUUUAAUGAUCUAGAUUUUUUCGUGUACUCUCACAAUGGAGAUUUGGAGUUUGGUAGAAACCGAUCCAACGUUUCGCAACUUCAAACAAAAUCGUAAAACAUGAUAUCAAAUACAUUCUCUAUAGAUACUAUGAGCUACAAUGGAUGGAUGGAUGUAAACAUGACAAACUCAAAACUUUCAAAAUAAAAAUCUUUCAACUCUCUUCUACAAUUAACCUCUCUAUACCCUAAGGAUUCAACCCAUUCAUCCAAUUCAGCCCACUUCCAGAAACUUCACCAUUCAACUCAACUAUGCCUACUUUUGGGCCACUUGAGAGGCAAAAAAGAUAGAAUUAGUGUAAUUUAGAUUGGCAUAUGCUCUUGACCCAGGCCCACCAUGGGCAGGCAUCCCUGGAGUAAGAAGAUGGCAUAAACCCUUGAGAGUAUAUAAUUUAUAAAGGCAAAAGCAACUUCAACUUUAAGAUUGCUUGCUAAUGCACCCAAUGUUUGAAUAGGAUUUAAUUUCAGAUGUCUCUGGAAAAGAAAAAGGGCAAGAAAAGAAAACCCUUGGAGGUCUGUUCGUUAUUAUUUUGGAAUUAUUAAAGAAGGUGAAAAAGAAAACCAGCUGGGCGUGACCUUAUUAUAUAAUGCAAGGAAGCCCAUGUCUGAAGUUGAGAGGGCUUUGGCCCACUGGAUUGGGCCACUAAAGUAGAUCUUCCCAAAUCAUCAUCGUCAUUUGUGUCUCAUCUCUCUGUCGUCUUGAGUGACAUAAAAUUAGAAUUAUGAUGCUUGCUUUGCUCCUAAGUCCUAACUCAAGUAGCUUUUUCUUCCCUUCCACACCAGUAAUAAGAAAAAUAAUAAAAAUAAAAAGGCUAUUUUCAGUAAACUGGGUGUGAGAUAUUUUGCCAAAGAUAUUUUAAGAGGUUUUGGAAUUUAAAACCUUCUGUAUAUUAAUUAGCACCCUCAUUUUUUCUUAAUUGGCCCUUUUAACUCCUCAUCUAUUGUUACGAAAUAACGAGAAUAGGCGAUAAAAAACAAAACAUAUCAUAUAAAUUUACCUGAAAAAACCCUAAACGAAAAAAAUCAUGAACAAAGAAGAAGAAGAUCCAUUAUAUCUAAAAUGAAAAUCUACUAAAUCAAAAAUUGGUACAAGAUGAGAGAAAUACGGAUGACUACUACAUAGAUAUAAAUAUCAUAACCCUAAAUCCUAUUAUAUAUAGUCCAUAUGGCAGGGCAAGCCUCCGUACCUUAUAAUUUUAACUUCAUCACAUACCACGGGUUUUUUGGAUCAAACGAAAUAAAAUUCAGGUUACUAAACCCUAACACCUUUCAUGUUUGUUUCUUCCUAAAAAAACGAAUAUUUUAUCUUAUCCUGUCCAAGAAUUAAAUUGAAGAUAAAAUAAUGAGUUUGUUUUAAUUAGUUGGAUGCGCAUUAAAGUUUGUGAAUAAUAUCUAUUCAAGAAAGAAUGGGUUAGUCUGACCUCAUAACGGAUAUUUGUUUUAUUAAGUCAUGUAAUCUUGUAAGAGAUAAUGUAUUAGAGAAAUGAUUGUGAUGUCUUACAUUGAAUAGAAGAAGUUCCGUGUACUAUAAAUGUAAUAAAAUUUUCUUAAUCUUGUAAACACGUAUUAAAAAUGCAUUUGACAGUGAUUUUAUAAAGUGUUUUUAAUAUUUCUAAUACUUAAAAAAAAUAAAAAUUUUCUGAGUGUUGAAAAUAUAAAAAACACUUUUUAGAAUUAGUACCAAACGUACUAUAAAGCUGUAAGAAUCUACAAAGCUUAUAACACGUAAUAUUUACUUAAGAGGAAAUAGGUCAUUACAAUUAUAAUCUAAAUAAGGAUCAAGGAUAGGAUAAUAUCUAAAACUCACUAUGACAGAUGGAAGGAGUUUCUAGCAAUCAAGUUUUGGAUAAUAAAUUUAGGUUUAUGUUGAAGUAUAGAGUUGUUGGAAGAGACUUAUGUUGAGGUCUACGCUGAAGUUGAUAUCCAGAACAUCCCACCUUGCUAUCAAAUAUUGUUACUGAUGGCUACGGUUUUUUCUGCCGACUCUUUGAAGGAGCAUGGGCUUUUCUUAAAUUAGGCCCAUAAGGCUGCUCUCAAAUCAGGCCCACCAACAAAGUCUUAACAAAAUCACCUUAAAUAAUAAACAAUCUCUUAACCGUUGGAUUGAUAUUUGAUCACCGUAGAAAAUAAUUAGGCCAAGUCACACCAAAUACGACCAAAUCACUUCUUAAAUAUACUUAAUUACUUUCAGUGCCAUGGUACCACACUGUUGGCUGGGCUUAUCCUGACCCAUCUACUCCGCCCUAAAAUUAAUUAAUUAAAAAUAAAAUAAUAACACACACUCAUGCCCACGAUUAACCUUUAAAAAAAAUUUAAAAAAAAAAGUGAAAAAUAAUAAAAUAUUUAGUCCUUUCCCCAUAGUAUAGGAUGAACUCAAAUUCCAAUAUUUUAUGGAAUAUAGCUAAAAUCCAAAACCAUCCACGCAGACCUCAAGCUAACCACGUAGAUCACACUUGGGCUAUAGCCUAUACCUAGAGUUCCAAUAUGUACAAUUACUAAAAACAAACACAUGCAAAAAGAAACAAAAUACAAUUCCAAGAACCAGAGAAGAAACCUGGGUGAAUUAUUACCCAAGAUCCUAUUCUCCCACGUAAAUCUGACACUUUAAUUUUUCAACUUUUUUGCUGUCAGCAAGUCUGGGAUUGUAGCUAGCAGCCAAAAGUUCCACAUAGUUGCCACAUUUUAGUUGGAAAAUUAUUGAGAUCCGGGGAUAAGUUUGGCCUACAAUUCUACAAUCUUCCAGAGAAAGAUAACAAGUCAUUUAGAUAAAGAUUAAAACAAGAGCCAAAUAAGGUGAAGUGUUGGUGCAUUUGCCAACCCAAUGAGGUCACAGGUAUACAGAAGUGGAAUGAUAUAAAAACAAAGUUGUAACUUUAUCCUUAUCCUUUUGAAAAAGGAAACGGAAGGAGUAUCGUUAAUGGCCUCAUCAGCAUCCGCCAGGUACACGAACAUGGCUGCCUUGUCCCAUCAACAUCUUCUCUUCAAAACAGGAUGUAGUAGAACACAGACUCCCCGGAAUGUCAACUACCAAGGCCCACCGUAUAUACAGCUCAAUUCAUCUGCUAAUUGUUAGAAGCGGUAAGUCAAAGUGAAGAGCAAGUUGGCGUGAAAAAGGGUAUUAAUAUUCUCGAAAAUGUUAUUGGAUAAAAAAAAUGAUAUUAGGAUGAGACUUAAAAACAUACACGCGGUAUCAUCUUAUCAGCAAUAUAUUUUCAUUUGAUACGGUAGAAGUAGUACACUCUCGUUUGAUCUUUUCAACUCUAAAACUUGCAUAGGUCUUGGUGGGUCCAUUGGAGGUCAUCGACCGCCCCAACCAUGCAAGUUUGGUUCGAUCCUAGGGCUCCCAAUUGAUGGGGAACAUGCUCACAAGAUGGAGAGGUUUGAUGGGCUCGUUGGGGGACCUUACUCUCUCUGACACAUAAAGUGGACAUCCCAGCCAGCCGACUGCUAGUAAUACAACCAGAUAUAAUACAACCGAAAGUGUGUCAGAGGGUGACUGGGAAUAAGUCAUUGAUGUGGCUCAAGGUUGAGUCAGCUAACCAAUAUGGACUGGACCCCCUCGUGUAAAAAGUUGGUCAGCUUGGUGUGACACCUCCUUCACAACUCCAUGUGGGCUGCUCCUUCAUUCCAUCUUCUCCCACCCCUUUAGUUUCGUGACCCAUGUGGAUCCCACUAACACCCCAUUAGACCAUCCAUCUUAAUACAUGCAUUUAACUACUUAUUCUCCCUUGCCAAAUAUUUAUUCAAUCAAUUUAGUUGGUGCCAUGUUUUUAUGGAAAAAAAAAACUUUCGUAUAAAAUAUAGUUGUAUUGUGAUGUAUCCUCUCAUAGCAUAAUCACAUGCCAUGUUUAUUUUGGUGAUGCUUUUUAUCAAUGAUAUUAAAAUUAAACAUAUUUAUAUAUCAUGGCUUUUUUAAAAACGCUCUUUACUUCCACCUACAUUUGAUUCUCCAAAUCUUCAUUUCUAAUCAUUUUCCUUGUAUCUUUGCACACAUUAUAACCGAAGAACUUAAUAAAUUCAGAUUAAAUUGGUAUCUAAAAAAAAUAAAAGGAUAUUGGUAGAGGGUGUAAAUUGUGGAGGAAGGUGAAAGGGGGGCCACAUUCAGGUGGCAUAUCAAAAACACCCAUCUUUUUCAAAACCUUAUCUUGGAGGGUCAGGGUCAUGGCAAUGCUGCAAAGGCUAAGGUGGAGAUGGAGACAAUUCCGUAGGCCUUUUGGUCUUUGCAGUUUCUCUUACGGAAUAUCUAAUCUCCCUUUCAUGUAUAGCCCUUAUAAUAUCUUCCUGCUUCCUCUUCUUCUACCAUGUAUGUCGACUAAUACAAGAUAAUUUAUUUAAUUAACGAGUUACCAAUCAUGAAGAAUAAGUCAACAGAAGAGUCAGGAUGAUGGAGGAUCUGAGGAUAGGCAUACUGUGGUAAUGACUUACUCUCUUAAAGACUUCAAAUGCAAAUAAUGGACGCCUGCCUAACGUCUACUAGUUGUUAGAAAAGGCCAAACCGCCUUUCUAUCUAUGCUUGGCCCCAGCUGGCUCUACGCCCCCGGUUUCGCACCUGCUUUCAUCGACUCAUCGCUAUUCACUAAUUGUCCAAACCAUUAUUGGAUAACUACAAAUUUUUACUUACUUCUCACUCUUGGAAAUUUCCUAGUUUGGUUUUAUUGGGAGUGUGCAUAAAAGAUGAAGACAAAAGGACAUUUACAACUUAGGACUCUUCUAUAACAAUCCACUUCCAAUCAUGUAAAUAUUGUCGAUUUUGAACUCGUCUUUGAACCCAAAUGGACCCUCACGACUUUAAAACACGUCUUUAAAACACGUCUAUAAGAUUUGUAUCCACGGGAUUAUGGGACCAAACAAAUACACUUACGAGACCAAACAAACCCCACACCCGAGGUUAGGGAUCGACUCUAAUGAUCUACUCACAACCAUAUAGAUAUUGUCCACUUUGGACCCAAAUGAGCUCUUACUACUUUAAAACGCGUCUAUAAAGUUACGAGGAGUCUAUUCUUAUAUAGCGCCAAGAACUUUCCCCCUUAUUCAGUGUAGGAUAUCACAAACACCCCUCAUAUAGACAUAACGUCCUCAUUGUAUCUCACGAGAUUGUGGGGCUAAACAAACAUCACACUGAGGUCAGGGAUCGACUCUGAUACCAUUUGUAAUAACCCUUUUCUAAUCGUAUAAAUAUUAUCCGUUUUGAACUCAAAUGAACUCUCACGACUUUAUAACGCAUCUGCAAGGUUACGAGGAAUUCAUACUUAUAUAGUGUCAGAAACUUACCCCUAUAUUCAACAUGGGAUGUCACACUUCUCUACCCCCAAGCACAAAAUACAAAAGCACCUCCUAGUGCAUUGAUGAGGGGUCUUUAUGUUUUCUUUUUGAAAUUCAUUUGACUUAGCAAUCCAUUUAUUUUUUGAGUGAUACCAACUAAAUUAAUGAAUCUUAAUUUUGAGUUUGAUUUCUUCUAAACAUUCGUUGAUGUUGUGGCACUAAAAAAUCCAUUGAAUUAAAGCUCUGUUGUAGGUUUUUUUUCUUCUUAAGAUGUGUUUUAAUAUUUUUACUGUUUAUAUUUAAGGAAUUUGUAUUUUCUUUCAUGUCUAUCAUAAGUCCUGUCCUUGUCCAUGGUCCUUCUUAGGGUCUUGUAGUAUAUGGCUAAGCUAAAAUUCCUUCAGAAAAUAGUUUCUCCACCGCCAAAACAGCUCCUCAAGAAACAUAUCUACAAGAACGGAAAAUUUAAAUAAAUGUCAAAUUAGGGGAAAAAAAUUAAACAAAAAUAAAUACUUCACCUGGAAGAACGAAUAGGAAUACGGGUGACGGACAAAUGGGGACGAAUGGAAAGAUUCAUACGCCGCACACAUACGACGCAUGUCCCGACCAACGCAGAUAACGGGAAGCGUCAAACCAAUCGGCGAAUUUAACGGAGUGGGGAAGACACUGAGAAACGAAAACGACGANNNNNNNNNNNNNNNNNNNNNNNNNNNNNNNNNNNNNNNNNNNNNNNNNNNNNNNNNNNNNNNNNNNNNNNNNNNNNNNNNNNNNNNNNNNNNNNNNNNNGAGGGAGGAGGGUCUUUGUCUGAGAGAAGCCUCUCUCACACCGUCACAAGUUCUCUAACUUUAGACUUUUCUUCAAAGCCUUUAUAAGGCUUUGCGUUUUCCCAAAAAUAUCAUCCCUUCAAAUUUUAAAAAACGUUUUGUUUUUCGUGUUGCACAAACAAAAAUUAAUACAUAAAUAUUUCAAUUUAAUAAUCUACACUCUCUAUCUUCUCCCUGUCAUCAUCUCCCUCCAUCAUUUAAAUAUGAACAUGAGACCGCCUCUUCAUGAGUCUUCUGCAAGCAAUGGAAAUGGACUAAGGAGUUUAAAAUUUGAAGAAAUGGAUAGAAAUGGAAGGCUUAACAUUGGAAGCAAAUGGCUUGGAUGAGGAGGGCAGGUGGAGCGUUAGAUGGUGGGUGUUUUCCUCAAAUUAGAAGUAGGCUCUUGUUUUUAUUAGGCCCGCUAUGGACAUAUA